rnacentral:rRNA from 1 species
UACCGAGGGGGCAAGCGUUGUUCGGAAUUACUGGGCGUAAAGGGCGCGUAGGCGGCCUUCUAAGUCGAACGUGAAAUCCCCGGGCUCAACCCGGGAACUGCGUCCGAUACUGGAAGGCUUGAAUCCGGGAGAGGGAUGCGGAAUUCCAGGUGUAGCGGUGAAAUGCGUAGAUAUCUGGAGGAACACCGGUGGCGAAGGCGGCAUCCUGGACCAAUAUUGACGCUGAGGAGCGAAAGCCAGGGGAGCAAACGGG